CGCUUGUCGUAGGGUAGCAAUAUUCUGCGGCAGGAGUGGCGCAAGGGUGCGUAACACGUGGGUCAUUUGCCGCGAAGUUGGGAACAACUCGUUGAAAGACGAGCUAAUACCUAAUGUGCUCCGCAAGGAGUAAAGCCGGGGACCGAAAGGCCUGGCGCUUCGCGAUAAGCCCGCGGCCUAUCAGCUAGUUGGCGGGGUAAAAGCCCACCAAGGCUAAGACGGGUAGCUGGUCUGAGAGGACGACCAGCCACACUGGAACUGAGACACGGUCCAGACACCUACGGGUGGCAGCAGUCGAGAAUUUUUCACAAUGGGCGAAAGCCUGAUGGAGCGACGCCGCGUGGGGGAUGAAGGGCUUCGGCUCGUAAACCCCUGUCAUUUGCGAACAAAGGCGCCAACCUAACACGUUGUUGUCUGAUAGUAGCAGAAGAGGAAGGGACGGCUAACUCUGUGCCAGCAGCCGCGGUAAUACAGAGGUCCCAAGCGUUGUUCGGAUUCACUGGGCGUAAAGGGUGCGUAGGUGGUGAACUAAGUCGGGUGUGAAAUCUCCGGGCUCAACCCGGAGCGUGCGCCCGAAACUGGUUUGCUAGAGGAUAGGAGGGGAGACUGGAAUUCUCGGUGUAGCAGUGAAAUGCGUAGAUAUCGAGAGGAACACCGGUGGCGAAGGCGAGUCUCUGGACUAUUCCUGACACUGAAUCACGAAAGCCGGGGGAGCAAACAGGAUUAGAUACCCUGGUAGUCCCGGCCCUAAACGGUGCGCAUUUGCUGUGGGCGGAAUC
rnacentral:rRNA from 1 species